rnacentral:lncRNA from 1 species
GUGAGGAGCUCCAGCAUGUAACCCGUCAGGUGAAGGAGUCUGAACGGGAGGCCGAGUUGGUUAAUCAGGCCGUGACCACGGUCAAAGGGACGAUGGAAAGAGUGGCGAGUGCGUGGAAGACGUACAACAAACACCUGGCCUUUCUUCAUCUGCAGGUUCAAAGUCCUGUUGAGGAGGGGGAGGUCAUGAACGAGUGGACUUCACGCCACGCUCAGUUAAAUGAGGCUGGGAAUUUUCUGAUUGAAGUGACUGAAACGUCAACGAGCUUUGUUCUGACCGAACAACUCAGCAAACUCAACAAGUCGUGGGCUGAGCACAUGAAGAAGACAGUGUUUGUAAGAACGCACGCAUUUGAUCACGCUCUGCAGUUAUAUUCAUAUUUAGAAAUCAAGUAACCUGGGUCGUUGGUAAUGGUUGUUGUUCUGACAGGAGUUGCCAUCAGAGACUUGUCUCACGAGUCUUCAAGCAGUGAGCUCAAUGAUCCAGGAGGCCGGUUUGCUUGUGAGGAAACCAGUGGAAGUGGCUUCUGUCCCACUGAAGGACAACAUACAGAAACUGCAGGUUUGCAUAGUUGCUGAAUUGGAGGAAUCAUCUUAGUUUUGUGUGAGUAGCUUUAUUGUUUUCUUCUGUCUUCUGUAGUCACUGAAGAAAAAGAUCUCUGCGGUGGACGGCUCAGCUUUAAUGGACUCUUCAGACUUUGAGACAAGAGAUGCAGAAAAGCUGCAGAAAACUCUACAGAUGCUUGCAGACGCAGAGAGGACCUGUGUGGAGAUGCUGCGAGCUGCGUCCAGACUGGAAGCAGGUCUGGCAAAGUUAGAUCACUGGAGUUCAGAGGCUACGACCUGUUACACCCAGCUGAAGGAGAAAAGGAACCGAGGAGCCCGUGAACCUGAGAAGACAGCCAAGGCAACGGUCUCUCAGGGGUGGCAGCUAGCACAGGAGGUGGAAGCUGAGAAUCGAUGUCUCCAGGAACACGUCGAAGGCCUGAAGAAACGCUCCAUGUUUCACUUCAGCUUAUCCUCCCUGCAAAGCAGGGUCUCAGCAUCAGAGUCCCACUGCCAGGAAAUUCUUGGAAUGUUCGGGGAUCUUGGGUUCCAGCACAACGUUGAAGAGUUUCAUCAGGAACCAGUUGAGCCAGAGACCGGAUCCAGAUCUUCACUGCUU